GACCGUGUAGGUGACGGCGACGCCCGCUUCGCGGUCGAGCCGGGCGGCUUCGGCGAGCAGGGACGGCGCCGGAUCGAGGCCGGUCACCGUCGC
rnacentral:tRNA from 1 species